GGGUUGUGAGGUUAAGCGACUAAGCGUACACGGUGGAUGCCCUGGCAGUCAGAGGCGAUGAAGGACGUGCUAAUCUGCGAUAAGCGCCGGUAAGGUGAUAUGAACCGUUAUAACCGGCGAUUUCCGAAUGGGGAAACCCAGUGUGACUCGUCACACUAUCAUUAACUGAAUCCAUAGGUUAAUGAGGCGAACCGGGGGAACUGAAACAUCUAAGUACCCCGAGGAAAAGAAAUCAACCGAGAUUCCCCCAGUAGCGGCGAGCGAACGGGGAGGAGCCCAGAGCCUGAAUCAGCAUGUGUGUUAGUGGAAGCGUCUGGAAAGGCGCGCGAUACAGGGUGACAGCCCCGUACACAAAAGCGCAUGUGCUGUGAGCUCGAUGAGUAGGGCGGGACACGUGGUAUCCUGUCUGAAUAUGGGGGGACCAUCCUCCAAGGCUAAAUACUCCUGACUGACCGAUAGUGAACCAGUACCGUGAGGGAAAGGCGAAAAGAACCCCGGCGAGGGGAGUGAAAAAGAACCUGAAACCGUGUACGUACAAGCAGUGGGAGCACAGGUUUACCUGUGUGACUGCGUACCUUUUGUAUAAUGGGUCAGCGACUUAUAUUCUGUAGCAAGGUUAACCGAAUAGGGGAGCCGGAGGGAAACCGAGUCUUAAUUGGGCGUUAAGUUGCAGGGUAUAGACCCGAAACCCGGUGAUCUAGCCAUGGGCAGGUUGAAGGUUGGGUAACACUAACUGGAGGACCGAACCGACUAAUGUUGAAAAAUUAGCGGAUGACCUGUGGCUGGGGGUGAAAGGCCAAUCAAACCGGGAGAUAGCUGGUUCUCCCCGAAAGCUAUUUAGGUAGCGCCUCGUGAAUUCAUCUCCGGGGGUAGAGCACUGUUUCGGCUAGGGGGCCAUCCCGGCUUACCAACCCGAUGCAAACUGCGAAUACCGGAGAAUGUUAUCACGGGAGACACACGGCGGGUGCUAACGUCCGUCGUGAAGAGGGAAACAACCCAGACCGCCAGCUAAGGUCCCAAAGUCAUGGUUAAGUGGGAAACGAUGUGGGAAGGCCCAGACAGCCAGGAUGUUGGCUUAGAAGCAGCCAUCAUUUAAAGAAAGCGUAAUAGCUCACUGGUCGAGUCGGCCUGCGCGGAAGAUGUAACGGGGCUAAACCAUGCACCGAAGCUGCGGCAGCGACACUGUGUGUUGUUGGGUAGGGGAGCGUUCUGUAAGCCUGCGAAGGUGGCCUGUGAGGGUUGCUGGAGGUAUCAGAAGUGCGAAUGCUGACAUAAGUAACGAUAAAGCGGGUGAAAAGCCCGCUCGCCGGAAGACCAAGGGUUCCUGUCCAACGUUAAUCGGGGCAGGGUGAGUCGACCCCUAAGGCGAGGCCGAAAGGCGUAGUCGAUGGGAAACGGGUUAAUAUUCCCGUACUUGGUGUUACUGCGAAGGGGGGACGGAGAAGGCUAUGUUGGCCGGGCGACGGUUGUCCCGGUUUAAGCGUGUAGGUGUGUGUUCCAGGUAAAUCCGGUUCACUUUAACACUGAGGCGUGACGACGAGGCACUACGGUGCUGAAGCAACAAAUGCCCUGCUUCCAGGAAAAGCCUCUAAGCAUCAGGUAACAUCAAAUCGUACCCCAAACCGACACAGGUGGUCAGGUAGAGAAUACCAAGGCGCUUGAGAGAACUCGGGUGAAGGAACUAGGCAAAAUGGUGCCGUAACUUCGGGAGAAGGCACGCUGACAUGUAGGUGAAGUGAUUUACUCAUGGAGCUGAAGUCAGUCGAAGAUACCAGCUGGCUGCAACUGUUUAUUAAAAACACAGCACUGUGCAAACACGAAAGUGGACGUAUACGGUGUGACGCCUGCCCGGUGCCGGAAGGUUAAUUGAUGGGGUCAGCGCAAGCGAAGCUCCUGAUCGAAGCCCCGGUAAACGGCGGCCGUAACUAUAACGGUCCUAAGGUAGCGAAAUUCCUUGUCGGGUAAGUUCCGACCUGCACGAAUGGCGUAAUGAUGGCCAGGCUGUCUCCACCCGAGACUCAGUGAAAUUGAACUCGCUGUGAAGAUGCAGUGUACCCGCGGCAAGACGGAAAGACCCCGUGAACCUUUACUAUAGCUUGACACUGAACAUUGAGCCUUGAUGUGUAGGAUAGGUGGGAGGCUUUGAAGCGUGGACGCCAGUCUGCAUGGAGCCGACCUUGAAAUACCACCCUUUAAUGUUUGAUGUUCUAACGUGGACCCGUAAUCCGGGUUGCGGACAGUGUCUGGUGGGUAGUUUGACUGGGGCGGUCUCCUCCUAAAGAGUAACGGAGGAGCACGAAGGUUGGCUAAUCCUGGUCGGACAUCAGGAGGUUAGUGCAAUGGCAUAAGCCAGCUUGACUGCGAGCGUGACGGCGCGAGCAGGUGCGAAAGCAGGUCAUAGUGAUCCGGUGGUUCUGAAUGGAAGGGCCAUCGCUCAACGGAUAAAAGGUACUCCGGGGAUAACAGGCUGAUACCGCCCAAGAGUUCAUAUCGACGGCGGUGUUUGGCACCUCGAUGUCGGCUCAUCACAUCCUGGGGCUGAAGUAGGUCCCAAGGGUAUGGCUGUUCGCCAUUUAAAGUGGUACGCGAGCUGGGUUUAGAACGUCGUGAGACAGUUCGGUCCCUAUCUGCCGUGGGCGCUGGAGAACUGAGGGGGGCUGCUCCUAGUACGAGAGGACCGGAGUGGACGCAUCACUGGUGUUCGGGUUGUCAUGCCAAUGGCACUGCCCGGUAGCUAAAUGCGGAAGAGAUAAGUGCUGAAAGCAUCUAAGCACGAAACUUGCCCCGAGAUGAGUUCUCCCUGAGACUUAAAGUCUCCUGAAGGAACGUUGAAGACGACGACGUUGAUAGGCCGGGUGUGUAAGCGCAGCGAUGCGUUGAGCUAACCGGUACUAAUGAACCGUGAGGCUUAACCUUACAACGCCGAAG
rnacentral:rRNA from 1 species